rnacentral:rRNA from 1 species
AUAUUGGACAAUGGGCGCAAGCCUGAUCCAGCCAUGCCGCGUGAGUGAUGAAGGCNCUNNGGUUGNANAGCUCUUUCGGCGGGNNNNNUAUUGACGGUACCCGCAGAAGAAGCCCCGUCUAACCUAGUGCCAGCAGCCACGGUAAUACGACGGGGGCUAGCGUGGCUCGGAAUCACUGGGCGUAAAGCGCACGUAGGCGGCUUCUUAAGGCAGGGGUGAACUCCUGGAGCUCAACGCCAGAACUGCCUUUGAUACUGAGGAGCUCGAGUCCGGGAGAGGUGAGUGGAACUCCGAGUGUAGAGGUGAAAUUCGUAGAUAUUCGGAAGAACACCAGUGGCGAAUGCGGCUCACUGGCCCGGUACUGACGCUGAGGUGCGAAAGCGUGGGGAGCAAACAGG